AUUAUUUUUUUUCCCUACUACGUACGACCACUUGUAAUAUUUUUUCCCCCACUUGCAACGGAAUCAAGUCAAUUUAUACAAUUUUUUUUUUGGCAUUUGCUUUGGACGUCAAGUUUUGACAAAUUUCCUGAAAUACCCUCCUCUGUUUUCUCAUUCUUCCAUACAGUAAGCAUGAGCUUAAGAAUGGACAAGGGUAAAACAGUAUUUAAAGCUGGAUGAAUUCUUCAUCCUUUUCCCUACUUCAUGUCUGUACACAAGCAGAGGCUUUUCCCACAAAAGCUUCAUUUCCCGUGCUGGUUGUAUUUCUCUGUGAGUCUUUGAUUCCUUCAUUUCGGAAGAAAAGAUGGUUGUGGUGGAGGCGUUUCUGUCUUCCUUGUUUGAGGUGGUGCUGGACAAGCUGGUGGCUACCCCUUUGUUAGAUUAUGCACGCCGGAUCAAAGUAGACACAGCAGUGCUCCAGGAGUGGAGUAAGACUUUGUUGGAUCUCCAAGCAGUGCUGCAUGAUGCUGAGCAGAGGCAGAUUCGGGAGGAAGCGGUGAAGAGUUGGGUGGACGAUCUCAAAGCUUUAGCUUACGACAUCGAAGAUGUCCUGGACGAGUUUGACAUGGAGGCUAAGCGAUGCAAAGGGCCCCAAACCAGCACCAGCAAGGUACGGAAGCUUAUCCCCUCUUUUCAUCCUAGCGGUGUGAUAUUCAAUAAGAAGAUUGGUCAAAAGAUCAAGACAAUCACCGAGCAAUUAGAUAAGAUUGUAGAAAGAAAGUCUCGUCUCGAUCUGACACAGAGUGUUGGAGGGGUAUCAUCAGUGACUCAACAAAGGUUGACUACUUCUUUGAUAGAUAAGGCUGAGUUUUAUGGUAGGGAUGGUGAUAAGGAGAAGAUCAUGGAAUUGUUGCUAUCUGAUGAAAUAGCUACUGCUGAUAAGGUUCAGGUGAUUCCGAUUGUUGGUAUGGGUGGGGUUGGAAAAACAACCCUCGCUCAAAUGAUCUAUAACGACAAGAGGGUUGGGGACAAUUUCGAUAUCAGAGGUUGGGGGUGUGUAUCUGAUCAGUUUGAUUUGGUAGUGAUAACGAAAUCAAUUUUAGAGUCGGUCUCUAAGCAUUCAUCUGAUACUUCUAAUACACUGCAAUCACUACAAGAUAGUUUGCAGAAAAAGUUGAAUGGAAAAAGGUUUUUCCUUGUUUUGGAUGAUAUAUGGAAUGAGGACCCCAAUAGCUGGGGUACCUUACAAGCUCCUUUUAGAAAUGGAGCACAAGGCAGUGUGGUAAUGGUAACAACUCGUCUUGAAGAUGUUGCAUCUAUUAUGCGCACUACCUCUUCCCAUCAUCUUAGUAAACUCUCUGAUGAAGAUUGUUGGUCACUAUUUGCAGGCAUUGCCUUCGAAAACGUAACUCCAGAUGCCCGCCAAAACUUGGAACCUAUUGGUAGGAAAAUAAUAAAGAAAUGUGACGGUUUGCCUUUGGCUGCAAAUACAUUGGCAGGUCUGUUGCGCUGUAAACAAGAUGAGAAGACUUGGAAGGAUAUGCUGAACAGCGAAAUAUGGGAUUUACGAACAGAACAAAGUAGAAUUCUUCCGGCUCUACACUUGAGUUACCAUUACCUCCCUACAAAAGUGAAGCAGUGCUUUGCAUAUUGUUCCAUCUUUCCAAAGGAUUAUGAAUUUCAAAAGGAGGAGUUAAUUUUGUUGUGGAUGGCGCAAGGUUUAGUGGGUAGCUUGAAAGGAGGGGAGACGAUGGAAGAUGUUGGUGAAAUAUGUUUUCAGAACCUAUUAUCAAGGUCAUUCUUUCAACAAUCCGGUCAUAAUAAGUCAAUGUUUGUGAUGCAUGAUUUGAUUCACGAUUUGGCUCAAUUUGUAUCUGGAGAAUUUUGUUUCAGAUUGGAAAUGGGACAGCAAAAAAAUGUUUCGAAGAAUGCUCGACAUUUUUCAUAUGAUCGUGAACUAUUUGACAUGUCUAAGAAAUUUGAUCCCCUUCGUGACAUUGAUAAAUUACGGACCUUCCUACCAUUAAGUAAGCCUGGUUAUCAAUUACCUUGCUACUUAGGUGAUAAAGUCCUACAUGAUGUAUUGCCAAAAUUCAGAUGUAUGCGGGUUUUAUCCUUAUCUUACUAUAACAUCACUUAUUUGCCCGAUUCAUUUGGAAAUUUGAAACAUUUGCGGUAUUUGAACCUUUCUAACACUAAAAUUCGGAAGUUACCUAAAUCAAUAGGUAUGCUUUUGAAUUUGCAAUCAUUGAUUUUGUCAGAAUGUCGUUGGCUUACCGAGUUACCGGCCGAGAUUGGAAAGCUCAUCAACUUGCGUCAUUUGGAUAUUCCCAAAACAAAAAUAGAAGGGAUGCCGAUGGGAAUCAAUGGAUUAAAAGAUCUUCGAAUGUUGACAACUUUUGUUGUUGGCAAGCAUGGUGGUGCAAGACUCGGGGAGUUACGAGAUCUUGCACACCUGCAAGGAGCACUCUCCAUUUUAAACUUGCAGAAUGUGGAGAAUGCUACAGAAGUUAAUUUGAUGAAAAAGGAAGACCUUGACGACUUAGUGUUUGCAUGGGAUCCAAAUGCGAUUGUUGGUGACUUGGAGAUUCAAACCAAAGUUCUCGAAAAGCUUCAGCCUCAUAACAAGGUGAAAAGGCUCAUCAUUGAAUGCUUCUAUGGCAUAAAAUUUCCAAAAUGGUUAGAAGAUCCUUCGUUCAUGAAUUUAGUUUUCUUACAACUUAGAGAUUGUAAAAAUUGCUUGUCUUUGCCGCCACUUGGGCAAUUACAGUCUCUCAAGGAUCUCUGUAUUGUGAAGAUGGAUGAUGUGCGAAAGGUUGGUGUAGAGUUGUAUGGGAAUAGCUAUUGUAGUUCAACUUCAAUUAAGCCAUUUGGAUCCCUAGAGAUUCUGAGGUUUGAAGAGAUGUUAGAGUGGGAGGAAUGGGUUUGUCGUGGAGUUGAAUUCCCUUGUUUGAAGGAGCUUUAUAUCAAGAAAUGUCCAAAUCUGAAAAAGGAUUUACCCGAACACCUUCCUAAAUUAACAGAACUUGAGAUUAGUAAAUGCGAGCAGCUGGUGUGUUGUCUUCCAAUGGCUCCCUCCAUUCGUCGAUUGGAGUUGAAGGAAUGUGAUGAUGUGGUGGUUAGGAGUGCGGGCAGUCUCACCUCAUUGGCUUACUUGACUAUACGCAAUGUUUGCAAAAUACCAGAUGAAUUAGGACAACUGAAUUCUCUUGUACAGUUGUGUGUGUAUCGUUGUCCCGAGCUAAAGGAAAUUCCACCCAUUCUUCACAGCCUUACCUCUCUUAAAAACUUGAACAUCGAGAAUUGUGAGAGUCUCGCAUCUUUUCCGGAGAUGGCGCUGCCACCCAUGCUUGAAAGCCUUGAAAUCAGAGCCUGUCCCACUCUGGAGUCCCUACCAGAGGGAAUGAUGCAAAAUAAUACGACUCUGCAAUGCUUGGAAAUUUGGCAUUGUGGUUCUCUGAGGUCCUUGCCCAGGGACAUUGAUUCAUUGAAGAGACUUGUAAUCUGCGAGUGUAAGAAAUUGGAGUUAGCACUCCACGAGGAUAUGACGCACAACCACUACGCUUCCCUUACCAAAUUCGACAUAACUAGUUGUUGUGAUUCUCUCACGUCCUUUCCAUUAGCCUCCUUCACAAAGCUUGAGACGCUUGAUUUCUUCAAUUGUGGAAAUCUGGAGUCCCUUUACAUUCCAGAUGGACUUCACCACGUGGAUCUCACAUCUCUCCAGUCAUUGGAAAUACGUAAUUGCCCUAAUCUGGUAUCUUUCCCACGAGGAGGAUUGCCCACUCCCAAUUUAAGAAGGCUUUGGAUAUUGAAUUGCGAAAAGCUUAAGUCACUGCCCCAAGGGAUGCACACCCUCCUUACAUCCCUUCAACAUUUGCAUAUAUCUAAUUGUCCAGAAAUUGAUUCAUUUCCCGAAGGGGGUUUGCCCACUAAUCUAUCUGAGCUUGACAUCAGGAAUUGCAACAAACUCGUGGCCAAUCAGAUGGAGUGGGGCUUGCAAACGCUUCCCUUUCUUAGAACGUUGACGAUUGAAGGAUAUGAGAACGAAAGAUUUCCCGAGGAGCGAUUUCUGCCCUCCACUCUCACCUCCCUUGAAAUUAGGGGUUUUCCAAAUCUGAAAUCCCUGGACAAUAAGGGCCUUCAGCACCUCACCUCUCUUGAAACUCUGCGGAUUCGGGAAUGUGGAAACCUCAAGUCCUUCCCAAAACAGGGGCUGCCCUCCUCCCUUUCAAGUCUUUAUAUUGAAGAGUGUCCUCUGCUGAACAAACGGUGCCAAAGGGAUAAAGGGAAAGAAUGGCCCAAGAUUUCUCACAUCCCCUGCAUAGCGUUCGACCAAUCGGAUAUGGAAAAUGGGGAGGUGAUCUUAUCAUGAGGCCCUUGCAUCGAAGCUCUUGCUCUCCUCUGCAUUUAUUGGCCCAGGAGCGUCUACUAUCUUGUUGUUGAUUGAGGAAGGUUGUCUACCAGAAUUGUUGGCUUCCUUGAUUUUCUACUUGGUUUUUGCAAGCACAUCAAAAUGUAGGGAGCAAAUGGAAAAAUCAACCUCGUAAAGCUCAUGUGGACAAAUGAUUCCUAAUUCCAAGACAUCCACUUUAGAUUCUUCAAAUAUGGCAAAGGGUUCAACAAACGUAUUCAUAGCAACAAAGUGCCUAUUUCCAAUUAGGAGGCACCAUUGAAGCAUGUCGGGGUGCAUUCUGUCGGGGAAGUAAAAGAUGGUUAAUCAGCCUUUCAGAAGUCAAAAUUAAAUCAGAGGUUCUAAACUUUUGGAACUCCAGUGCAAUGAAAAGGUUGGAGACUUUGAUCAAGUUAAUACACUUUCCCAUUCUUCUCUCUUGCAUAGGACUUUGGUAUGCCCUUUUGUAUGGGAAGAGCUUAAUCAGGCAUGCAGAGUGAUUCUCCUAUUGAUUAUCAGAUAGAAUGAAGGGCUCUGACAAACGUACUAACCGCCGCAAAGUGCCCUGCUUUCGAUAGGUAUGUCUUCUACUUUAUGAAAAAUAACAUGUUUUGCCUUAUAGUAAAAAUUCACAUACUAAACUAUUAGAAUCAUCGAGAUAAAAGCAGAUGGUCUUUUUGCUUGCAUAUUGAAGAAAUUUCUUUGCUUAUGUAGACUGCUUUAUAUUUAAAGUAUGGUAUGGAGGUUAUCAUAUGCAUCCUAUUCCAUUGGUGUCUACAUUGAUGGUCAAGAUGAUUAUGAUAAGGCUGAAAGAGUGUCUUAGAUGAUUAUGAGUUUUGUUAUCUCUUCUCUGAACAAAACCAUUUCUUUCAUUUCAACAACUCAAUUUCAGUAGUAAUCUAAUUUUGGAAUUUCAAUGCAAUGAAAAGGUGGCAAAUUGGAUCUAAAACUUGUCCCAAACAGGAAAUUAACUCUGCCAGGCAAUUUUGUUUUGGAGUUUUUGGUUCUUGAUUUUGUGAAAUAUGAGAACACAAUUAUAACUACUUGUUCCUAGGAUGGAGAUUUUGCCAAUAGAGAUAGCUUGUUGGAAGGUGAUGUGGAAUCAUAAAGACGUGGAAUCAUAUGGAAGAGAUAAGCAAAUGAUACACUUCCAAGUUUUCCUCUCUUGCAUGGGACUCAGGUACACCAUUCUGCAUGGAAAGAUGUGGGAAGAGUGAUUCUCUUCUUUGUUAUUAAUUAGUUCAUCGUUAAUUAGCUGGAAUCCAAGUGGAUGAUAUGAACAUCCAUACUGGCACCAUUAUGAUAUUUCUUGGAAAUUAUCUGCAGGUGGAACUUAGAUUGUAUUUUGCUAAUGAUCUGUAUAUCCCCUGCCUUCAGUCUUGGGAUAGCAGUAUUCAGAUAGAUUUCUGCCACCUUUAAUUAAGAUCUUCUGUUCCCAUAAAACCAUGUGUAAGCAAUCCUGCUUUCUAUCACUGCAGAAGAGCUUAUCAUCAAAUGAAUGCUUUUUGUUGACUUCCAUUACAUGGUACCCUGAUCCAACACUGGACUCCAAAAGGAGAACAAACAUGCACAAUGAAAUGUAUGUUGAUUCUAAUAACUUAAUUCUCAAUCCCUAACUUGAGGAAAUGAAAGGCAAUAAUAAAUGGAAAUUUUAUCGGGUUUCUCUAGCAGCACAUCCUGACAUGGUAAUCUUGACAAGAAAAAUUAAGAGAAAUGCUUUUAAAUUUGGAAAAACGGAGUAAUGAUGUUUGAAGUUGACAGAAAUGUUCGAGGAUUUCGUCUGUCUUUAAUGUAGGUAAGAUAUUGAGUACGACCUUAACAAAAGCAGUUUGUUGGAGGUGCAUAUCCUAAGACAAUUGUUUUUUUCACUUUAAGAUUGAAUUUUAGCAUUGGUUUAUGAACAUUGUAUUGCACUUCAUCACUUGUAGGCUUCUGCCCAGCUCAUUGGAUUUCUCAAAUACUUUCCCUCCUUCAUUUCCCAUUUUACUGGGGUUUUAUAUCUUGCUCCUUGCUGUCAAGGAACUCAAAAUUCCUCAGUUGUUCAUAAGGUUGUAAAUGUGCCUCAUAUAUGGAAGCUUGUGUGCAAUUCAAUAAUUGGGGUUCUCAUAGUUGCUACAAAUUUGGCGCAGGAUAUCACACACACUCCAAUUAACUGGAUGACUUGACCAUCAGAACAAGCUAUUCAGUUUUAUUUUUUGUUUUUAAGCUCCCAUGAAAAGAUGGCAAGCAUUAGCCAUGGCCCAUGAAAGAAAGUCAUUCUCUUCAUAACUGAUUUAUAUGUCAACUAAAAUGGCAGCAACUUCACAUCUCUUCAAUAUCUGCAGAUGCUGGAAACCUCCAUUGAUGGCAAGUUUCUUUUAGUGUUUCCCAUGUAUACAAAUGUUGUUCCCACAAACCAUGCAUCUUCUAUUCUCUAUUGGGAGAUGUUUUAUGAUGAGAUAUUGUUAUUUGUAUAUGAUAGGUAGGAUGUUCAGUGUCUUAGAGAUUCAACUUAUUGUGAGGUCAUUCCAAAUCUUAAAAGUUGUUGCAUUCUCAGUAGAAGUGAUCUAUUUUCAAA